GCCUACCCCUGGUUUAGUGGUUUGAGCAUCGGACUAUGAUUAUGGAGACCAGGGUUCAAAUCCCAGCUUGGCC